AGUGAACGCUGGCGGUAGGCCUAACACAUGCAAGUCGAACGGCAGCACAGUAAGAGCUCGCUCUUACGGGUGGCGAGUGGCGGACGGGUGCGGAAUACAUCGGAAUCUACUUUUUCGUGGGGGAUAACGUAGGGAAACUUACGCUAAUACCGCAUACGACCUACGGGUGAAAGCAGGGGAUCUUCGGACCUUGCGCGAUUGAAUGAGCCGAUGUCGGAUUAGCUAGUUGGCGGGGUAAAGGCCCACCAAGGCGACGAUCCGUAGCUGGUCUGAGAGGAUGAUCAGCCACACUGGAACUGAGACACGGUCCAGACUCCUACGGGAGGCAGCAGUGGGGAAUAUUGGACAAUGGGCGCAAGCCUGAUCCAGCCAUACCGCGUGGGUGAAGAAGGCCUUCGGGUUGUAAAGCACUUUUGUUGGGAAAGAAAAGCAGCAGGUUAAUACCCCGCUGUUCUGACGGUACCCAAAGAAUAAGCACCGGCUAACUUCGUG
rnacentral:rRNA from 1 species